AAUUACUGAAAUCAUGUGCAAGAGAAACAGCUGAAUGAUUUUGAAUGCCCUCUGCACGGAUAAUUGUUAAUCUAUGGAGUGUAACCGGUCUCUGAGCGUAUGUCGCUCACGUAUACGCGUGAUUACGUGAACCACGCAAUACUUACGAGAUAUACAACACUCCAUUUUUUCUUUGUAGUACAAGGCUUGUUAAUUUACUCCAUUUUAAAACGUAAUUAAUAUUAUACAAACUGACGAUUCAACAAUCGAAUCACAAGAUUAAAAAGUGCGAUUAUUUUAUUUGAACGGUUAGAAUUUGUGUAUUCAAUUUCUUUUUCUUCUUGGUUUUCAUAUACGUAUACAAAGGAAAGAAUCAUAGAAAACCAUAAUUUACCAUACUACACGCUUCGUUCCAUCUAAAUGGUUGGCAUGUAAUUUAACUAUCAUGGAAUGCUGUUAAGGUGAAAAUUUAUCUUCUCUAGUAUCCUCAUUGUUCGAUCAUUUUAUUUAUAAUCUGAGAUAAAAAUGCGUUUCCUGUUUCCUAUUUUUCUGCAUUGUGUACGCCCGCUUUGUAAUAGUAUUGUAAUAAUUUUUAUGCUUUCUAAAAACAUCCGCUUACAAUAUUAUAAUAAAUUCCACUUUAUCCGACUGUUUUAUAUUGCUCGAAUAUAACUGGUUUUCAUGAAGUGUAGUUAAAAUGUUAACGAGAUCAUAAUAUGAACGAAAUGUGAUCGAAAUGAUUUGUGAUUAUUCGGACGUAAGGAAGGCUUUAAUUUUAAGGAAACCAAGGAAGGAGAAAGUGAAACGUUAUGUAAAAGUUAGCCGGGUACUCGUCUUUCCACCUGUUAAUAACUAUCGAAGAUACAUCAUACAUCAAUUAGUGCGGGACCGUUUUGUUGAUCUACACACGUUCUCAAUCGGCCAGGGUUCUGCUAGGCGAACAGUAGUUUGUUAUAAGAGUGACGUGAUAAGGGAUCCCAAAUUGGAUGGUGAACAGUGUACAUCGAAUUGUGCAACAAAAAGUAUUAGUACGUUGCUCGAGAUGGGUAUUGAAGGUCAGCGAUCACCUUCCGCAUCUCCUGAACGGAUACGAAUUCAAAGACAAGUGAAAUCAACGCCAACAGUUGAAAUUUAUAGACCACCAGCUGUUAGGAGGGCUAGAAAUGAACUUCAAACAAAUAUGGACCAAGUUCAAACACAAGCAACUGUAGAUUCAUCUAUUGGAAAAACUUCUCGUCAAAGAAGACCAGAUCGUGCAGUUUAUAUACCAAGACAUCGUAGAAGUUUAGAAACAGAAGGAAGUCCUCAACCAUUAGAAUCUAUUCGUGUAAAUCGUAUAAUUAAAGACAAUUCAUCUUUAUUUUCUGCUCCUCAUGGAAAAUCGAAUUUAAAUAUUAAAGAAGCAAGCUCUGAUGUACAAGAAAAUAAAGAAUAUAUAGAAAAAGAAAAUACUUUUGAUGAUGAUCAAAAUAAUACGGAAUUUCACCUCAAUAUGUGUCUUCAAACAGAGAUAAAAGGAAUAACUUCUUCAAAAAUACCUACAAUGAAAAGUAAUAAUAAAGAACCAAUCGAGCAGUUAGAAAAUUUAAAUAAAAAUGUGCCAAAUGAUUCAAAUAAUUGUAAUGCUUUUGAAGUUCUUGAAACUUCAUAUGAAAUAACUGAUACAGUUCACUUACAAACGAUUGAAGGACAAGAAAUAUCUAAUUUUAGUGAGAAUAAGAGUAGUUUAGAUUCAGUUGAAACAUGUAUAUAUAGUGAAGUUAAUGUUAAUGAAGAAAUAAACACAUCUGAUAAAUGUAAAGAUAAUAUUAUUAUGACUAAUUCAACUGCAAAUAAUAAAAAAAAUAUGGAAUUUUCGAAUAAAGAUGAAAUAACGAAUCAAAAAAAUACGCAAAUGAUGCACAAUAUGGUGUCAAACGUGUUAAUUAUCUCAGAUACUGUACAAAAGGAAUCACAAGCUGUUAAAGAAGUUAUUCCUAUAGUAUUACCGGAGAAAAAAGUAAAAAAAAUUGUACGACAAAAGAGUAAACCUGCACCACCACCUUCUCCACCUAUUAAAAAAAUUAAUAGAGAUGAAUGUGAUUGGGAUAGUUUAUUUGAUGAUAAUGGUGACUGUUUAGAUCCAACUCUCAUAGAAGAGCUAACGUCAGCUGUUGGUAAUGUUAUGAUAGAACAACCGAAGAACGAUUAUAAACCCUACACCAAACACAUUGAAGUAUCUAGUGAUGAAUUUGCUCAUGUGGUUGAAAUUUAUAAUUUUCCAUCAGAAUUUAAAACGAGCGAUUUAGCAGCUGUUUUUAGUCCUUUUAAAAAUGGUGGUUUUGAAUUAAAAUGGGUUGAUGAUACGCAUUGUCUUGGAGUCUUCAGUAGUCCUCUUCUGCCGAAGUAUUGGCAUCGGAUCAUCCAUUUGUUAAAACAAGACCCCUAAGUGAAGCUACGGCUUUAAGCAAAACAAAAGCAAAAAGAAGCGCAGAAUUUUUACAACCCUAUAGAAGUCGCCCAGAAACUUGCGCGGCAUUAGCAAGACGAUUAGUUACAGGUGCUUUAGGAGUGAAAUUAGCCACUGCUAGACAAGAACGCGAACAUGAAAAAAACAUAUUACGCGAAGCUAAAGAAAAACGUAGAUUAGCCAAUAAACAGCGAGAAGAUGUCUGGGAAGGUAUUAUUCCUGAAAAGUAGCAUUAUUUGUUGAAAAUGUAAUAUUCAUACAUUGAGAAUUACUUAUAUUAUUAUGUGAGUGUUUUAUGACAUUUACAUGUAUUUGUGCCUUACUCAUCUAUUUUCAUUUUUGACAAACUUACUUUUGUCGAACUGAUUUGGCGAUUGGUUUUGGGAACAUGGGAUAUUACUUGCCAAUAGAUGAGUGUGGCAUGACAAAACUACCAACGGAAAUAUUUACUUAGGACUGGUAAAAUAAAUUUCCAGUGCUUGUUUAUUUUCUACAUAUUAUGCAUAUCACAAUUUUCAGACCAGAAAAUAUUGGAAUAAGUGUGCCUGUUGUACUAUUUUCUAACAGAAGGGUAUUAAGUAUUUUAAGUAAACAUGUAGAUGAAAGCGAUUUAUAGCCUUGACAUAUUAGAAAACUAUAUAAAAACAAACGUAGAAGCGUUUUAUGAUAUAUAUGAUUAUUCUUACCUCGAUAGUUGCCUCUGUUAUAUAAAUUUAUAUAUACACCAUAAACAAUACUAUGUUGUGCAAUGAUAAUACAAGACAAUAAAUUAGGAUGGUAGAGAACAAAAAUAUCCUUUUACAUAUGCACGUGUGCGUGCACAUAUAUCUCAUAAGUGUCAAUGAGAUAUAAUCAAAUUGUGUCUUCAUAGAAUUAUGAUUUUACAACAAGAACUAUACUGAAAUAUGAUGUGGCAUUUUAUUAUUAUAUGCAACAUAAGAUUAUUAUAGUUACAUUUGUAGUUAAACAUGAAAUUAUUAUGCCACUUAUUAUAUUACAUGUACAUAUAUAAAUCUGUUAUAUAUAUGUUAAAAAUUUGACGCACAAUCACAAUCUAUCUAUUUACUUACAUAAAUUACAGAUUUUUUUAAAAGAAAAAAAAAAAGAAAUAGAUUGUAUUUUUAUAUACAAUUGUUACCACAGAGGAAUAAAUGUAUCGCCAAAUCCUAGUCAAUGUAUGCAAGAAACAUGUUAUCUAUAUUGUAUAUUAUAUUACUGAAUUUGUCAGAAAUUGACAAAAGGAUUAAAAAAAAGAAUAAAAAUAUUUUAUGUACUA